GCCGGCGACCGGCGCACGGGUGAGUAACGCGUAUGCAACUUGCCUAUCAGAGGGGGAUAACCCGGCGAAAGUCGGACUAAUACCGCAUGAAGCAGGGGCCCCGCAUGGGGGUAUUUGCUAAAGAUUCAUCGCUGAUAGAUAGGCAUGCGUUCCAUUAGGCAGUUGGCGGGGUAACGGCCCACCAAACCGACGAUGGAUAGGGGUUCUGAGAGGAAGGUCCCCCACAUUGGUACUGAGACACGGACCAAACUCCUACGGGAGGCAGCAGUGAGGAAUGUUGGUCAAUGGCCGAGAGGCUGAACCAGCCAAGUCGCGUGAGGGAUGAAGGUUCUAUGGAUCGUAAACCUCUUUUAUAAGGGAAUAAAGUGCGGGACGUGUCCCGUUUUGUAUGUACCUUAUGAAUAAGGAUCGGCUAACUCCGUGCCAGCAGCCGCGGUAAUACGGAGGAUCCGAGCGUUAUCCGGAUUUAUUGGGUUUAAAGGGUGCGUAGGCGGCCUUUUAAGUCAGCGGUGAAAGUCUGUGGCUCAACCAUAGAAUUGCCGUUGAAACUGGGGGGCUUGAGUAUGUUUGAGGCAGGCGGAAUGCGUGGUGUAGCGGUGAAAUGCUUAGAUAUCACGCAGAACCCCGAUUGCGAAGGCAGGCUGCCAAGCCAUGACUGACGCUGA
rnacentral:rRNA from 1 species